GUCUCACUUCCUAAGUAGUUUAAGAGCUAUUGUUGCAGGAACCCUACGGAUAUUAUUGAUUCAAAUUAACACAUUUUAGGAAGAAACUUACACAUCAAGAAACAGCAGAUUAAUCCUACUGAACACUUACUUGAAUCUUUUCGUAAAGAGAAGAUCACAGCUACACCAUGUUAGGAGCAUAGAUCUUUAGGUACUCAAGCAAAGAAAACCCUGAGAAAGUUCCUUGUUACUUACGUAAGUAUACAAAUCAGAAAUCAAACAAGCCUUUUAUUACAUUGUGACAAAACUAUCAAGACAAAGUUUCAAGGUUCUUUCAACUAAGAAAUAAAACUUUAAGCUAAAACAAAGAAACACGAAUAAGGCUUCAGAGGGACAAAAGCAAAAAAUUUCAGGAGAAUACUGGCAACAGAGACAAGAACAAGAACCCUAAUUGAAUAGGGUCAAGUCAUAAGCUGCAAAGCGGAUCCCUAAUGUUAAUAUAUGCACAGAAAAUUAUUAGACAGAUUCCCCAAUCUUUAUUACAGGGAUGUCCCAGUACUUGUGCAAUAUCAUUCAUAAGCCUUUUUGAUGAUACUCAAAAUCAAAAAACCAAGGAAACAAAGAGAAACACAGAGAGAAACAAGACAGAACAGAGAAAGACAGAAACGGCGGAUGAAAGUGUUUGUU
rnacentral:lncRNA from 1 species